AGGAGUGAUGCCCAAAAUACUCCUUCUCGAUUGACACUACAAAUAUAUCCCUCUCUCCCAAGAAGCUCAUCAUGGCUCUGAAGUUCCCAGUUCAUGAAAGCCAGGAGUGAUGCCCAAAAUACUCCUUCUCGAUUGACACUACAAAUAUAUCCCUCUCUCCCAAGAAGCUCAUCAUGGCUCUGAAGUUCCCAGUUCAUGAAAUUAAAAUUUAUCACUAUAGUUUUCUUCCCCCGCUCUGAGACAGAGUCUUUCUCUGUCACCCAGAGCUGGAGUGCAAUGGCACAAUCUCAGCUCACUGCAACCUCUGCCUCCCAGGUUCAAGCAAUUCUCCUGCCUCAGCCUCCCGAGUAGCUGGGAUUACAGGCACAUGCCACCAUGCCCGGCUAAUUUUUGUAUUUUUAGUAGAGACGGGGUUUCACCAUGUUGGCCAGGCUGGUCUCGAACUCCUGACCUCGUGAUCCGCCCGCCUUGGUCUCUCAAAGUGCUAGGAUUACAGGCGUGAACCACUGUACCCGGCCUAUCCCUGUGGUUUUUAAGGCUGUAUCAAAUGGCUCCAUUUUACCUCUCUGGGCACAUUUUACACACAAAUGACAAACAUAAUCAUAAUCAGCAACAUAAUAAGAAGUCUGUAAUUCUUUGUUAUUUUAUGUAUUUGUUCGUUCAGAAAAUAUUAAGCACCUACUGUGCGUAGGGCACUGUUUUAGUAGCUGGGAAUACAAUGGUGGAUCUAACUCCAGUCUUCAUGGGACUUAUAAUCCAGAAAAGGAUCCCAAUAAGAGAAGAAUCUCCAUCCGGUAGAGUGUUGGGUGGUCCAGAUGAGACACACUCAGAGAUGGCAGAGAUGAUGUCUUACAGGGACUGACCAUGGGCUUGAGGCCCCAAUGAGGAGUCAGCCCAACAGUCUCUGGAUCAUCCCGCAGACACUCAGGGUCCAGGACACUAGCAAGACCCCAAGUGAGGCCAGGCCAGCAGGUAAACAGGGUCUAGAGCCCAUGAAGCAUGAUGGUGAGAACAGAAAACAGGUGCCUGCCGUGGGCUGACGCCCUGCACCCAAAUGUCUGCUGAGGGAUGGUGCUGGUCCAGGGCUUCCUGACCAAGGGAGGUCCAUACACCUGGGUGGGAAAAAAAUAUUUAUUGCCACUAAUCUCUAACCAAAAGUUAGCAUUUCUUUCAGUUAUAAAUGUGCAUAAUAAACGACUGUUACAGUACUGGGAGGCAAUGUUUGACAGAUUCAGCAAAUAAAAAAUACAGGAUGCCUAAAUAAAUUUCAGAUAAACAAAAUUUUUUAGUAUAUCUCACGCAAUAUUUGACACAUACUUACACUACAAAAGUUAUUCAUUGUUUACCUGAAAUUUAAAUUUAACUGGUGUCCUGUAUUGUAUCUGGCAACCCUCUGUCCUGGGGACUCUGUCCCCAACAGCAAUCAGCUAUUUCCAUUCACAUUAUGCUUGUUGCAAUUAUCCUGACACACAUGUGUGCUCACUAUUCCAAAAUUGCAGCAGCUAUGAAACCAGCUUCCAGAUUAUUUAAUGCAUUAAUGAUGCACAUAUGUUGUCAUAUAGCAAGUUGGUUUUUUAAAACUUAUUUUGCUGUUUCAGUGUCAUUGGUUUUCUCUGUCACCUGAUAUAGUUAAUUUCAUGCACUUAGAAGCAUGAGUGUGAGGAGUCCAUGGUCUUCUGCAGACGACCUUGGGGAUCCACGGCAUGAAGACAGGGAAAGCUCCAGCAGUGCAGUACCCGUCACCCCUUCUCCAUGAGCACAGGCCUGACGGCAUCCCCCACGUGCCCCCGAGGCCACACUCCCUGUGCAGUAUGCUGGCCCUGGGGGAAGGCUGCCGGAUCCUGUGCGGGCCCUGAGAGCCCACAUGUUGACAGCCCUGAUGUCGGCAGUCAAGGUAGCAGGAGCCUCGCAGCCUGUACACGUGGAUGACAGUCCUAGCACACCUUCCAGUGGGUCCAGGAGCCCCCACCGCCCCAAUCCUUGCAAAACCUUCCCCUCACAGAGCCAAGGUUCGUCUUAAAGGCUGGGCAGGGUGAGGAGACUUGGGGAUGAGAGCAAGGAGAAGCAGCCCUACUGAGGAGCAGCCCGAAGAGUUGCUUGGAGGGGACGGGAUAAACAUUAAAUUGUUCCUGCUACCCAGUGGGUGAGAGCAGACGGGCAGGAAGGGCAGAUGAUUCUAGAGAAAAUCCACCACAUUUGCUGGUCCCAGUUUUGUCCUCAUGGUGCAUACCACUGUGUUUAUCUCUGUGUAUGUCUGGAGCCCUGGGGCAAAC
rnacentral:lncRNA from 1 species